GGGCCUAUAGCUCAGUCGGUUAGAGCACCUGACUCAUAAUCAGGUGGUUCCAGGUUCGAUCCCUGGUGGGCCCA
rnacentral:tRNA from 1 species